GCAACAUUUUAAUGAAUAGUAGAAUUAAAUGUUUGCCAGGAUUUGUUCAAAAUAAAUGAUCAAUUACCACCGAGCACAUCCAUCACAUUUAUUAGCUCCCUUCUAGAAGCAUUUUUCAUAACUUGCAAAUUGGAAGGAGGUUGAAGUUGAAUUUUAUUUCUUCUUCAUUAGCCCACAGUAAAUACAGUGCUUACAGGUAAGCCCCCAAAACCCGCGGGCAUUUCUGCGUUGGGCGUUUUGGGACACUGGAAAAACCUCUGCAUGCACACCGCAGUGCUUCCAUUUUCCCCAUAAGUUAAUAGAAAUAAGGAUUUCCUUUUCCAAAAUGCCUGGGGAGCUGCGCCCCAGCAGGUGAGAUGUGUCACUUGCUCUCAAGGUCGUUGUGAAACCACCCGAUAUGCAUUUACUAUUAAUAAUGCCCAAGGAGAAGGUCAGAUUGAGGUUCUGUCAUGUCACGCACACUCUUAGUUCUUUAUCUUUUGCAAAAUGGAGACAGAAAGACACAUUUCAUUUUCCUAUUAGCAGAAAUCAGGUUGAUAUGCUGAUGGAAGUUAAAGCCCGCGGUGGAUAGAGCAGUUUUGGGGCUGCAGUGAGAGGAGCCGAGCGGGGCCAGCAGAGCCACGCACUGCGAGUGCCAGCAGUGCCUCCCAGGAACGGAUCUGUGCAGCAGUGGGGGCUGCGGAUGAGCGGGGAUGGGCUGAACGGCUCCACUGGAAUUGCACAGUGCCGGUAUUCCAUUGUUAGCACUUUGCCCAGGAACCUCCUAAAACUGUAUUACAGCACCUGAAGAAGGCUCAUAGAAUCAUAGAAUCAUAGAAUUGCUAAGGUUGGAAAAGACCCACAGGAUCACGCAGUCCAACCAUUCGCCCUUCACCAAUGGUUCUCACUAAACCACGUCCCUCAACACAACGUCCAAACGCUCUUUGAACACCACCAGGCUCGGUGACUCCACCGACCGAGGAUGAGGGUCUGGAGCCAACUUCUGGAAGACCUUUUCCAUUCAGAGUUACAUCCCAACGUGGAAACAUUCUCCGGAGUUUUCUUUGUGCACUGGCAGUGUCCUGCUCAGGUACCAGCACGUUCUGCCUGGUGUGCUCUGCCGCCGACUGCUUCCCUGUGCUUGGAAUGGCACCUCUCCAUGUAAGCACCUGCGGCCUCCCAACCCUUUCCCUGCCUGCAUCACAGCCAUUCCCAGUCGCUUUGUUCUUAGUACUGGAAAAUUACAAUUGUGAGGUUUUAGUAGCAAACGGCCAAGGGUAUGACCUUAAAUAGAGCAUUCUGUGAAAUGUGUUGCAAUGUUACUGGAAAUGCUAAAGAGAAAAAUGUUACCAUGUGAGUCAAUGAAACGCGGUCUGUGGGGGCUCAGUCCUGCACACUGUGGCCCAGCAUGGCUUUUCAGUCCUGCUGUGAGCUCUUCAGCUGGUUCCUGGUUCUGAAGCCAUGUGGCAGUGUGCAGCGGCGUGCAGCGGUGUAGCAGAGGCAUGCAGCAGUGUGCAGCAUCAUGUUGUGGCAUGCAGCAGCACGCAGCGGUGUAUAGCAGCACGCAGUGCUGUGCAGCAACUUGUUGGCUGCCCGUGGCUGCACAGAAGUCACUGGGAAACAGCUCCGUGUGGGCUGUGAGAAUUCACUGCAUGGGAUCGGGCUGCACAGGAGUUACUUUUACAGCCUCUCCGUCCCCCCUGUGUGCUCCUGCAGCCAAAGAAACAGAUUUAUUCGCGCUUGCCAAUAAAUCACAGUGGAAGCUUACAGUGCUAUAUAUAUGAAGCCGUACAUAUAUCUCAUCACAGCUGUGGAAGUGUUGCCCCAGGAAGCAUUACCUGACUCGGGAUCAGGUUAUCCAUGGGCUCUGUGGGUCUCCAUUCCCCAGCAGCAUGCAAAGCUCUGCCAGUGUGUGGUGCUUUGCAUCCACAGUGCAGCACAGCAGCCCUGAAACCUUCAGGCUCUGUUCCUCAUGUGAGAAAUCUGCACUUCUGCCAACACUACAUCCUGUCUGGAAACAGGGUUGUAUUUCACAGAAGGAAUCUGAAAAAUGCAGAUCCAUGUCUUUUUGAGCACGUGGUGCUGGUAAACACCCGAGUUUUGUAAUCACAGAUGAGAAAUAACAAGGUUGUGAGUGGAAAAAGUCACUGGGAAGCAGAUGUUGGGCUUUGGCACUGUGCUACAGAAGUGCACUGUGAAUGCAUCCCGACCCCCCAGCUCACAGCCACCGCAUGCAGCAACCCUCCCUGCUGCUGGAGGCAGGGCGCAGGGCUGGGAAACACCUUCUGCAAUUCCAUGGGUGGGCAACAGGUAACAACAUAAGCGAGGAACCUAAAACUACAGAGGGGGUUGUUGGCAAAACACGUGAGCUCAGGUCCUGUGAGUCCCAAGCCCAACGCGAUAAUGCUGGAUAGUUCUAUGUGAGAUUGAGCUGUUUGUGUGGGGAAGACUUUCAUCAUACGCAGAGCUCUCAAAAAAGCUCCAGGUCCUUGAACCACGGGCAAGCAAUGACGUACAGUGUGACAGGAGAGCCAGCACUGAUCUCUGCUGCUCUUUCAAAUCUGCUGAGCAAUGGGAGCACAUCUCCUGCUUCCUCCCCCGAGGAGAUUGUGUUUCUCACCACUGCUGCUCAUUUAGUUUGGCAGAAGCACUGAGGAACAUGCUGGCUGCUUCCACCUGUGGGCAGGCUGUUCAUGCUCCAUCGCCAGCCAGAAUCCCAGCCUUCCUGCUAUAGUUAACCUGCUAUAUUGGUCUCUGAUGGGCAGUGUUAUUUCAACAAAUUACAGCUCUGUUUAAGCAGACCUUCCUGGCAGACCUUCCCGAGCAGCGUGGUGCAGCACGCUCCUAUCACGGACCAUUUACAACUUUUGCAUUACCUGUGGUGUUACAGGGAUCCCAUCCACCCGCAUCUGCAUGCGUGCCACAAUGUGCCACACAACGCAGGAGGAAAAUGCUGCUCCUGCAGAGGUGUGUCCAACAUCACUUAACACCAGCUUCCACAGAAGACGUUCUGGAGGUGUCUGAGGUAACGUUGGCAGCUGCAGGGCCACUGGAGAGGGUGCAAAUGGACUUCAGUUUGCACACAAUAAAGAAGAGUCAAAUCUGGAAAACAGUGCUCGUCCAGGAUGGCAGCCGGGCACCAGCAGUGCUGCACACGGGGCUGCAGAGCUCCUGAGAACCCAGUGGGAGUCCCACUGAGCACACACAAACCUGUCAGCAGAGCUGAACACGUCCUGCCAAAGUCCCAACCUCCUAACACAGAAUCAUAUGUAAGCAUGUGGCUACGUUUCCCAUUUUCAUCUGACAUGGGAUUUCAUUCACACUCUGCAGCUCUGUGUGGCAUGGGAAUGGAAGAUAAUGCACAUGCUUUUAUGCUUUUAAAAUCAAAAUUACAGUGAGCAGAAAAGGGCUGCUGUGCCGUUCAGGUGGAGGAAUGGACUCGUGCAGUGGGGGAACCUCCCUCCCAGCAGCGAUCCCAGUAGCACAAGCAGCCACGGAUUUAAAGUUUUGAAGUACAUUUCUGUUUCCCCAAAGAGGACGCACCUAUUGGAGCCUGAGCUGUGGUGUGUGAGCAGAGCAGGGGCAGUACAGCAGGAGGUGCCUGUCCUCAGGCAUACAGCGUCGUCUGCCUCCAGGCUGCAGGUGAGCUUGCAGACAGAGGUAUAAUCAGCAGGCUCGCAGCCUCUCAUCCUCCUGCAGAAGUCCAUUUUUAAUUCUCUGUGCUGCCUUGUGGCUGCCAGACUUAUGCCUGGAGAGGAAAACAAGGAGGUCCCCUGAGAGGUGUGCUGCUGCUCCUGCUUCACAGACCUGAGCAAAUAAUGGUGGUUGAAGACACGGCAGCAUGAAAUACACUUUGCCUCUGGUUCCAGAAACUGCUCCGGACUGCACGCAGCCUCCAGAAGCUUUGGUGGAGUUUUGCAUGGCAAACGCACAGAGCAGCAGGCAGAGCUGCAGCCACUGCUUCCCGUCUCGGCAUUUCAGUGACGCUGCUCACUGCCACCCUGUGCUCUGGGAAAGCAGUGGGAGCAGUGCAGAGGUCGGCAGCACCUGCAUCCCCACACAGUGCUUGGGUCUGGGGCACUUCAUGUCCUGUGUGUGUAUGGAGACUUCAUUAGCUUUGGUCUUCAGCACAACAUGCCAACAGUGAUUAAAACCUGCUGAGUGAUGAACAUGCUAUUGCUGCCAGUGGACCUCCCCAGGCCAACCUUUCCUCCACACCAUGGAGUGCUGCCACAUCUCUGUGGGGCCACCCCACGCUGGGGGAAGUGCUGGCAGAGCGGCUGGCACCUCUCGGGAUGCCACCAGAGCCCAGAGCUUCACCUUCUGCCCCUCGCUGAUAACAGCUCCCUCCUGGGUAUUUAGGCAGGAGGACAUUUGCUGCCCUCAGCAUUCUUGAGCUGACUGCAGUGGAGAAAAGCAGUGCUCUGCUGCUGUGCCCCAGCAUUGCAGUGGCUCGCUGCAUGUCUGGGCAGCACCUACCAGCUGCACAGAGCUCCUCACACUGAGAGGCAGCUCCUGUCUGAGCAGCCCAUGGGAAACAUGUCACCAGCAGCUGGAAAUGGAGGUAUCCAAACAGGCAGCAAAGGCACUGGGAGCUUUGCUUUGUGAAGGGCUUUAGGCAUUGCAACACUGCAACAGCAAUGAACUGAUGUGCCGUUCCCAAACCUGCAGGAGCCUGCGUGUGCUGGAGUGGGGGUGGGCAAAGCGCAGGCCGUUCUGAAAUGCAGAGAGAAUGCAUUUAAAACUGUGUUCAUUCUUCCUCUUAAAGAGGCAGCAGCAGUCCGGGUAAACGUCUGGGGUAGCACGAGGGUGGUGCUGUGGCUGUUGUGAGCCCGGAGCACUGCAGCUCUGCAAACACUCCGAGCAAAAGAAAAGGAAGUGAAUUUCCCCCAUUUUCCUUGCAUCUCAGCAGAUUGAUCUCACCUCCUUCUCAGUAAAUACAUUGACAUCAUUCAAACUCCAGAAAUACAAUGUUGUGUCUUGCUUUCCAGCAGUGUGCUCCAUUGCAGCCGCCAUUUCCUUAUAUUGCCAACUCUCUUUGUAUCUCAGCAGCUUUCGUUCAGCUCUGGGACCUCGCAGUGAAGCCACGCUGCCACCCCCGCCGGCACACGCGCUUCUCAGAGCUGUGCGCCCCGCAGCAGCGACCGCUCAGCCACUGCUUCCUGCCAGCACUGCAGGCCCAAGGAAACCCUGCACUUCCUGCCUGAAUUUCACCACCAUCCCGCAGCUCGGCAAUUACAACCCGUUUCUCACCGAAGAACAGUCAGUCCCUAUUCCUCUAGAGAGCCACGGGUCGGUAACGGCCAGAGCGACAGCAGAGAGCUCUGUUUGAAGGCAGCAGACGAGACGUGCAGCGCUGAGUCGCGCCCCGCGGCUCUGAGCACCAACCGCUCAUCUUCCGCGAGACGGCGCU
ensembl:lncRNA